rnacentral:lncRNA from 1 species
GGGAAAGCAGUAAUGGACUCUGCCAUCCAGGCUCCCAAGGACUUCAGUCUCUUGCCCAAGACUUCCUCCCCCUCAGCAUCAGAAUUCAGGUUCCGCCUGGGGCCACACAGGGUGGGGAGGGGCCCCUGCUUGCUCCAAGCUUUGCCUCCUCCCUGCCUCUAGGUUCUUCUCUGCAGGUGAGCAGGACAGUGUCCAGGGUCUUUAGGGUCUCACCCGGUUCUAAAGCUUGGGAUUCUUUGGCUCCUUCAGGCGUGGUCUUGGAAUGGAGCGAAGCAAGCCAGAAAUCACCAGGGAAGCGGGGAGAAGUAGGCCGCAGGACUCGGUUUCCAGGCUGGAAUCAGGAGCCCCGCAAUGGCAGGACCCACGCCCUGGACAAAAUCCCCAACAGAGACGCGUGCUGUCCCUAUUACAGACCCCAGGGAAGGGGAACCACAGAGGGUGUGCAUAGAGGUUCUGGGGCUUGGCCCAUGGACUUGCCAGGCAGACUGCGCAAGGACCCCGGGUGCCAAACAGACUGGCCUCCCUUAGCGAGUCCCCGGCCUUGGGGCGGCCUCCACGAGCGUGCGCUGAGCUGAGUUAGACUUGGGGUACACAGGCCUGGGGCAGAGGACUGGCUCCCAUUGGGAAGAUGUGGGUUCAGGUACCCCAAGCGAGAGCUGAUGGGCGCUGAUCUGCUUCAGCAGAGGCUCCAUGCUCUUUGGGAGGACCCGGGGCUGAAGUCCCUAAUGCAGGUGGAGGUGCCCAUCAUGCCAGGAGCCGGGUCGAUGCCCUGGGGCACCUUCCCAGCACUUUCUCCUCUGGGAAGCCGGGCAGGAUGGCUCAGCCUGGCAGCUACCACCGGGAGCAAUUCAGUUUUCAGGGCUGGGCUGGCACAUUCCCACCGACGCCAGAGUUCAGAUGGAAAUUCGUGGAGAGACAACUUAGACGAAAAUAGCCUUUUCUGGGCGGACCCUCCCCAGGAGAGCCGUCCGCUGGCAUCUGCCCCGUUUCGUAUCCCUUCUUGACUAGCUGGGGAAACCAUCA